rnacentral:lncRNA from 1 species
UUAGGCGAGGGGGAGGGGGUUCAGCACCAGCACCGCUGCUGCCCCUGCCCAUACAGAUAGAUCCUGCAUCCUGUGGGGAUGCCAGGAAAGCACCGCUCGAAAGACAUGUGUGAGGUGGAGGGGCACCGGGGGAGGACGGGCGGAAAGACAGAGGUGGAAAGAAGAGACUGAGCUCCCCGCACGGCCGUUAGUGGCUGGGUGGGUGGUGGUGGCGGUGGUUGCAAUAAGGCGGGAGCGGAACGGAGGAAAGAAACAGGCCAAUUCCUUACCCCUCGCGGCUAAGGCUCCCUAGACGGGCGGGCAGGAGGAGGAGCAGCGGCCGCCGCCGGCACUCGUCCUGUGCAGCUUCCGCCCCGCCAGUCAGUCAGCCAGCCAGCCAACCCGCCUGCCCUCGCUUCUCGACAGCCCAGCGUCCGGGGUCUGUCUGUAUCGCCGUCUCUCGGUCCUGCUGCUGCUGCCGCUACUGCUUGCUGUAGGGCCUGACUGACUCCCCUUUCACGUGAUGCAACCACAUGAUCCAGUGUCCCCCCCCCCCGCAAUUUCCAGCUCUGUGUCCCCUCCUCUCGCGGUAGGCAAAGGGACGGAAAAUGAAGACAACGGUGGCACCUCUAAGCAUGUGCGGAGUGCUUUGGCCCUCAGCAAAUGCACUCAGAUCUCUCCACCCAUGGGAACGCUGUCACGAGAGACUUAAAUUUUCAAGCUCCGGCCUGCCCUGCGGGUGAGGAAUGUGAUUUCCACGAGUUGUGUUUCCUUUGUGGUAUACAUAAGUUAGACAUCGCCUCUUUGAUCCCACAGCAAUCACUUGGUAUAACUGUAAUACAGUAUAUUAAUAUGAAAGGGGUAAUGAGGAAGCCUCACCAGAAGAGAAAGGGCUUUUCUCUUUUUCCAAUAUUUUAGUUGGGAUAUAUAUAUAUAUGAAAUUUACUAGAUUGCAAACUGUUUUUGGUGAAAUUACUCUGUUAAAAAUGUAUCUCAACAAUGUAUUUUUNNNAAAAAAUGACAAAUCAAGUACAUAAUAAUUUCUCACUUCUGGGAAAGAAAAAAAUAGUUUAUUUCUUUCAUAUGUGUGCAUAUCUCUGUUUUAAUUGCAAAUCUGUGUUAUAUAUAAUUCUUAAAUUCAUACAUGUUGUAUUUUUUAAUAACUACUCCUUAGAAUGCUUCCGAUACCAGAGAAUAAAUAAAUACCAUUCUUGCA